rnacentral:rRNA from 1 species
GACGAACGCUGGCGGCGUGCUUAACACAUGCAAGUCGAGCGGUAAGGCCCUUUCGGGGGUACACGAGCGGCGAACGGGUGAGUAACACGUGGGUGACCUGCCCUCAGCUCUGGGAUAAGCCUGGGAAACUGGGUCUAAUACUGGAUAUGACUCCACGGUGCAUGUCGUGGGGUGGAAAGCCUUGUGCGGCUGAGGAUGGGCCCGCGGCCUAUCAGCUUGUUGGUGGGGUGAUGGCCUACCAAGGCGACGACGGGUAGCCGGCCUGAGAGGGCGACCGGCCACACUGGGACUGAGACACGGCCCAGACUCCUACGGGAGGCAGCAGUGGGGAAUCUUGCGCAAUGGGCGAAAGCCUGACGCAGCGACGCCGCGUGAGGGAUGACGGCCUC